UACGUAGGGGGCCAGCGUUGUCCGGAUUCAUUGGGCGUAAAGCGCGUUCAGGCGGUUUGGCAAGUCGGGCAUGAAAUCUCUCGGCUCAACCGGGAGAGGUUGUCCGAUACUGCUGGACUUGAGGGCAGUAGAGGGUGGUGGAAUUCCGGGUGUAGCGGUGAAAUGCGCAGAUAUCAGGAGGAACACCGGUGGCGAAGGCGGUUCUCUGGGCAUUACCUGACGCUGAGGAGCGAAAGUGUGGGGAGCGAACAGG
rnacentral:rRNA from 1 species